rnacentral:ncRNA from 2 species
UAAUACAUUUUAUAAUUAGGUGCCUCGCUUUGAGGAGAAUAGUGAAGUCGAGUGAUUGAAUCUAUUCAAUCAUAAACGAUACGGACCCACCGCUGUAGUCAGGGAGUUUCUAUUCAGCUUUAGGCCACUGGUUUAAACCGGGAAGGCUUGAAUAGAAGCAGUGAUCUGUGAGUCAGAAGACCUGCCUAAUUAUAGGAUGCGUA